rnacentral:rRNA from 1 species
UGCAGAAUCCCGUGAACCAUCGAGUCUUUGAACGCAAGUUGCGCCCGAAGCCUCCGGCUGAGGGCACGUCUGCCUGGGCGUC